rnacentral:rRNA from 1 species
AGAGUUUGAUCCUGGCUCAGAGCGAACGCUGGCGGCAGGCUUAACACAUGCAAGUCGAGCGGGCGUAGCAAUACGUCAGCGGCAGACGGGUGAGUAACGCGUGGGAACGUACCUUUUGGUUCGGAACAACACAGGGAAACUUGUGCUAAUACCGGAUAAGCCCUUACGGGGAAAGAUUUAUCGCCGAAAGAUCGGCCCGCGUCUGAUUAGCUAGUUGGUGAGGUAACGGCUCACCAAGGCGACGAUCAGUAGCUGGUCUGAGAGGAUGAUCAGCCACAUUGGGACUGAGACACGGCCCAAACUCCUACGGGAGGCAGCAGUGGGG